rnacentral:rRNA from 1 species
AUUGAACGCUGGCGGCAUGCCUUACACAUGCAAGUCGAACGGCAGCACGGGAGCAAUCCUGGUGGCGAGUGGCGAACGGGUGAGUAAUAUAUCGGAACGUGCCCAGUCGUGGGGGAUAACGCAGCGAAAGCUGUGCUAAUACCGCAUACGAUCUACGGAUGAAAGCGGGGGAUCGCAAGACCUCGCGCGAUUGGAGCGGCCGAUAUCAGAUUAGCUAGUUGGUGGGGUAAAAGCCCACCAAGGCGACGAUCUGUAGCUGGUCUGAGAGGACGACCAGCCACACUGGAACUGAGACACGGUCCAGACUCCUACGGGAGGCAGCAGUGGGGAAUUUUGGACAAUGGGCGCAAGCCUGAUCCAGCAAUGCCGCGUGCAGGAUGAAGGCUUUCGGGUUGUAAACUGCUUUUGUACGGAACGAAACGGCUCUUUCUAAUAAAGAGGGCUAAUGACGGUACCGUAAGAAUAAGCACCGGCUAACUACGUGCCAGCAGCCGCCGUAA